UAGGGAAUCUUCCGCAAUGGACGCAAGUCUGACGGAGCAACGCCGCGUGAGUGAAGAAGGAUUUCGGUUCGUAAAACUCUGUUGUUAGAGAAGAACAGCGCAUAGAGUAACUGUUAUGCGUGUGACGGUAUCUAACCAGAAAGCCACGGCUAACUACGUGCCAGCAGCCGCGGUAAUACGUAGGUGGCAAGCGUUGUCCGGAUUUAUUGGGCGUAAAGCGAGCGCAGGCGGUCAAUUAAGUCUGAUGUGAAAGCCCCCGGCUCAACCGGGGAGGUCAUUGGAAACUGGUUGACUUGAGUGCAGAAGAGGAGAGUGGAAUUCCAUGUGUAGCGGUGAAAUGCGUAGAUAUAUGGAGGAACACCAGUGGCGAAGGCGACUCUCUGGUCUGUAACUGACGCUGAGGCUCGAAAGCGUGGGUAGCAAACAGG
rnacentral:rRNA from 1 species